GGAGGAAUAUUGGGCAAUGGACGAAAGUCUGACCCAGCAACGCCGCGUGAAGGAUGAAGGCCUUCGGGUCGUAAACUUCUUUUGAGGGAGACGAGAAAGGACGGUAUCCCUCGAAUAAGCCACGGCUAACUACGUGCCAGCAGCCGCGGUAAAACGUAGGUGGCGAGCGUUAUCCGGAUUCAUUGGGCGUAAAGAGCUUGUAGGUGGUGCGAUAAGUUGGACGUGAAAACUCCGGGCUUAACUUGGAGAGGCCGUUCAAUACUGUUGUGCUAGAGGGCGUCAGAGGGAAGUGGAAUUCCUGGUGUAGCAGUGAAAUGCGUAGAUAUCAGGAGGAACAUCCGUGGCGAAGGCGGCUUCCUGGGGCGCACCUGACACUGAGAAGCGAAAGCUAGGGGAGCAAACGGGAUUAGAAACCCCGGUAGUCCUAGCUGUAAACGAUGGAUGCUAGGUGUGAGUGGAUCUAACCCCGCUCGUGCCGAAGCUAACGCGUUAAGCAUCCCGCCUGGGAACUACGAGCGCAAGCUUAAAACUUAAAGGAAUUGACGGGGUCAUAGCUGUUUCCU
rnacentral:rRNA from 1 species